rnacentral:rRNA from 1 species
GACGAACGCUGGCGGCGUGCUUAACACAUGCAAGUCGAGCGGUAAGGCCCUUUCGGGGGUACGACGAGCGGCGAACGGGUGGAGUAACACGUGGGUGACCUCGCCCUCCAGCUCUGGGAGUAAGCCUGGGAAACGUAGGGUCGUAAUACUGGAUAUGACUCCACGGUGCAUGUCGUGGGGUGGAAAGCCUUGUGCGGCUGAGGAUGGGCCCGGCCGGCCUAUCAGCUUGUUGGUGGGGUGAUGGCCUACCAAGGCGACGACGGGUAGCCGGCCUGAGAGGGCGGACCGGCCACAC